rnacentral:sRNA from 1 species
AGGGCUGGCUGCGCCGAGCCCCCUGCGCGCGACACAUGGGGCGCCUGACGGAGGCGGCGGCAGCGGGCAGCGGCGCUCGGGCUGCAGGCUGGGCAGGGUCCCGUCCCACGCUCCUGCCGCUCUCUCCCACCUCCGCCGGGUGCGCGGCCACCAUGGCGUCCAGCGACGAGAACGGCACCAACGGCGGCGCCUCGGAGGCCGGCGAGGACCGGGAGGCUCCCGGCAAGCGGAGGCGCCUGGGGUUCUUGGCCACCGCCUGGCUCACCUUCUACAACAUCGCCAUGACCGCGGGGUGGUUGGUUCUAGCUAUUGCCAUGGUACGUUUUUAUAUGGAAAAAGGAACACACAGAGGUUUAUAUAAAAGUAUUCAGAAGACACUUAAAUUUUUCCAGACAUUUGCCUUGCUUGAGGUAAGUUUUCCAUCAUGCUGUUUUUCUAUUGCUGUAAUAUUUAUGUGAACAUUUUUUGUUGUGCAAAAUCAAUAUGAUUUUGCUGAUUACAUACCACCUAUGGAUUUGCUUAAUACCAAUGUUGACAGUGGUUUAUUUAAUGUUUUCUAUUAUUGAUGUAAUGAUUUUUUUUCUAUUUGCUUACAGAUAGUUCACUGUUUAAUUGGUGAGUUUUUGCUUUAAUUUUAUACUUUUAUUAUAAAUUGCCUUUAGGGCAAUAGUUGACUUGUUUUUCUUUUUAAGGAAUUGUACCUACUUCUGUGCUUGUGACUGGGGUCCAAGUGAGUUCAAGAAUCUUUAUGGUGUGGCUCAUUACUCACAGUAUAAAACCAGUAAGUGACACAAACAUGUUGUCUACUUGAGCCUGCAGGAAAGCUUUCCAUUCAUAGGAAUCUAAAAUAUUAACAUUUGUAUAUUUCAGGAAGUGGAAGCAUUGGACAAAAAGGAGUUGGUUUUGAGUUUUAGAUAUUGUGCAUUGACUUAGUACCUUAGCAGAAUGACUUUGAAACACAAACAAACCCAAAUAUUGGCAUCUUAUAUCCAUAAUAUAUUCUCCUUUGAUAUUUUCCAGUUUUUGAAAUUAGUAUCCAGAUUCUGUCAAAUAACCUGCAGAAAAUGUUCUUUUCUACAGAAUUUCUUUUCAGUCUAAGUUGUCCUCUUUGAUUAUGUCAUCAAAGUUGUCAGUAUACAAUUUAUUAUUUCUUGCCAGGCGCAGUGGCCCACACCUGUAAUCCCAGCACUUUGGGAGGCCAAGGCGGGUGGUUUGAGACCAGCCUGGCCAACAUGGUGAAACCCUGUCCCUACUAAAAAUACAAAAAUUAGCCAGGCAUGGUGGCGAGUGCCUGUAAUCCCAGCUACUCUGGAGGCUGAGGCAGAAGAAUCGCUUGAACCCGACAGGCAGAGGUUGCAGUGAGCUGAGAUUGUGCCACUGCACUCCAGCCUGGUUGACAGAGCAAGACUCCGUCUC